CGGCUUCACCCCGGGCACCACGGCCCGGCCCUCGAUCUUAAACCGCUCCCCGGGGCCCGCGCCGCCCGACGGUUCCGCCGGCCCGAGGGGCUCCGAGCCGCGGGCGCUCCGGGGCAGCGGCGCCGCCGAGAGCCAGAGCAGCGCCAGGCUCAGGAAGGUUAUGUGCUGUGGAGAAUUGGCUCACAUCUGACUGGAGGUCAGAGCAACACAAGAAGCUGCAAGCACUGUCAUAGGAUGUUCUACCAGAGAGAAGCUUGUUCAGGAACCAAGCGUGUGACAUGCUCACAGAGCAGGUCUAGAAGUUGUCUGCCCUGCAGAGAGUCUGGGAAAUCCUGCAUCUGACAUGUGAAGGGCUGCAGUAAUUCAGACAGCAUUAAGCAGUUGCUUAAAUUAUGCUACUGUUACUUCUGUGCUAGGAGGACCUGAAGAAAGGAAGGCCAAAAGCAGCAGAAAUCCUCUUCCUGGCUGGAAGUUGAACUAUUUCUGGCCUAUCAGAAAGUUGAUGCUGGUUUUCAGGGAGGUGAAUGAAAAAACCCACUAAAGAUUGAUUUACACCAUUUCAAAGCUUACUGUUCCUUAAUUUUUUUUUUGGGGGGGGGUAGGGGAGCUUUAGUUUACACAAUUUAUAGUGGAAUUUAAAAGUAUAACAAUGCAAGUGUUACAAAUGCAAGUAUAACAAAACAAGGAGUUGGAGUAGCAAUUUCUGAUGAUAAACAUUUUCUUUGGUGUAUUAAAAAUGUUACAAAAGCUGUUACAGUGUGUACUAUUAGCAAACUAAAUAAGACUCAAACUGAGUAUGAAAAGUAGUAAGAGCUGUGAGCUCACAAUAUUUGACAAAGCAAAAGGAACACAGCUGGGUCUUAAACUCCUUUUCUCAUUUACAGAGAAAAUUACAGUGGCUCUGAAUUGUAGUGAAGUUUCAGCAGUACCUGUAGAAACCUUUUUCCUUUAAACAAAAUCUGUCAAUUGUUGAGAAGCUGAGAACUGUAACACUUCUUGGUUUUAAGUUCAUUUGUACACACCUUUUUCAUACAAGGCUGGCAUUUGAGAUACAUAACCCUACAUGCACACAGCUGAUACCUAAACAAGUUUACCAAGUUGCUACUUCUUUGAAAUUCAACACUUAGAAGAAUAAGUGUUGGCAACUUUUUCCUGCUGUCUUCUUUCAAUGUAUUGACCUGUAAUUCUCCUGUAACUCUUUUCAAGCUAUUGUUGAAAAGCAACUUUUCUUCUGUCCUUCAAUUUUUGUCUUGUUUAUCUGAAUGAAAUAAUUUGGAGGUUCAUUACACUUUCAGUAAGCUAAACAUGAAUCUUGUUUUUAUCUUUAAAGUGCAUUCCUGUUUGUGUGGGUUUUUAUGCUGAAUCAGACUGUGCAAGUAAAGGCAUGCCUUAAUGAACCUGAGUUUGUACAUGACAGAAAACUGCUCAAAUGUCCCACUGUGGGGAACUGCACACAUUAUCUAUCAUUAAUCAAUGGCAAACAAGCUCAUUUUCUAUGUGUUGUUACAUUGCUAUUCAGUGUGCUAAACAAUUUCAUUAAAGCUACAUGAUUAACA